AUGGAAUCAUUCUGUGAACAACCUGAAGCCUUCAGCAGCAAUCAGUUAUUUAUGAAGGUAAUAAAUGGACAUAACUGUUUAUUCAUUGCAGGUACGCCUGUGUCUGGAGGAGACGGAGGGCAAUUUUCAAAUUUCAUCCACAUGAUGGAUGUGGAAGGGAAGCUAUGGGAUAUGAGGACACCCAACCAGAAACAAGCUGCCUUUUUGUUGUUAAUAGCCAGGAAGUCUCUGUGGUGCAGAUGUGACAGCAACAGCAAAACCUAUUUCGAGGUCCUGUCCCAUGAAGUAGCUGUGACUACAAAUUGCUCCUUAAUAAUUUCAUCUACCAUAUAAACUUGCUGGAGAAAGCUCUUCUUCAGCUAGCUAUGGAAUCUGGAAGAAGACUGAAGUUAUCUGCUCAGCUUUCCUGUAAAGAGAGCAAGGGUGAAGAAGGAAAAAUAGAAAUAAAUCCAUGUCCCACAGUCA
rnacentral:lncRNA from 1 species